GUUCUGCUAGCUUAGCCGGUGGAGUACCAGACUCUUAAUUUUAGGAGCGUAGGUUCGGACCCCACGUUGAACG